GAAAUAGUGGUUCUCGUACGAUCACCGAAGUUAAGAGACGCCGAGCCUGGUCUGUAUCUAGAUGGGUGACCGCUUGGGAAUACCAGUUGCUGUAA
rnacentral:rRNA from 1 species